UGAAUGAUAUAAAAAAACACAAUAUUAACAUGUUGAGAGAAAUAUCAAAAACAAUUUUUAUAACAUUGGCGUGUAAGCCAAAGGAGAUCACCAUUCCCUUAAUUUUUUUAUUAAGCACAACAAAAGCAACAGAAAAAGUCCCAAAAACAACACCAAAAUAAAACGAAACAAGAUAGGAAACCUAAAAAAGCCUAAAAGAAAUUCCAGUGCAAACAGCUCCCAAACACGCAACCACCAGGAUAGUACCGAACAAGAACAAGGAGCCGUUCAGAAAAUCUUUUGGAAAGCACUACCCAUAGCCAAAACCAAACAAAAUCAUCUAUGAUAGUGGCUCCAAACCAAUUGAAGGAGGCACCAUCAAGCUGGAAAAACAAAGAUCCCGACACACAUAGAGAUCCAGAAUCCUGUCCGAGAGUCAAUGAAAACAUCUGCAAACACCAAGAAACCAUCGAGAUUCGAGACUCCCACGCUUCCCCCAAUAAAACCAGAUCCUGACCGCCGCGAAGCUAACCAGCAUGAGGUCUUAAGGAGGAGGUCGACUCUCCCAAAUACAUACCGCAUCGAUCCGUCUCCACGGCCAGAAGAGCGAACUCUGGGAUCCCCCUUCUUUGAAUAACACGGCCCUCACCCUGGAGGCCCUUAGUAGCCAACAGGUGGGCCACAGAGUUUCCCUCCUGGGGAACAUGGAGGAACUGACACAAAUGGAACUACCCGAUCAAGCCCUUGAUGUAACUGAUGUAAUAACUGAUUCGUCAUAAUGAUGAGAAUAAAGUUUGCUAAUCACAGUGAGAGAGUCUCCUUCAAAGAUCACCUCUUGUAAGCCCAAUUCGAUACCCAAUCAUAUAGCAUGGUAGCAGGCCAGAGCUUCCGCAGCAAAAGCAGAAGGUCAUCAACAUAGGCGCAUGGAAAGCAGCAUCAAAGUUCACUUUUAAGCAAGAACCUUCAGGAGGCAGCCAACGCUUAGGUCCAAUCAGACGUCUAGGCAGCUUCGCAUGCACCGCGUCAAACUCCAACAGAGUACACACCACUGAUCUGGAAAUAGAAAUGCUAUGCACAGUAAAAUCAUAUAGCAACCAAUCCUGAAAGAAAACAUCAGUCAAUUCACUAGGCCAUGUAACAUGCAGCUCUGCCCAAACACACGACGUCGAAAUGCAGUCCCGAAAAAUAUGUUCCAACGUUUUAGCUGAGGCCAUGCACCGAGGGCACAAUGGUGAUGCGCGAAUCCGCUUGUUGUAAGAUUGUAAUAGCUAGGGAUAAAAUUAUGGAAAAUACGUGACGCUGUUAUUUUUAUUUUUGCCGAAAGUUGCAUCUUCCACAGUUUGUUAUAAAUAUGUUAGUAAGGGUCUGUAGUUUCAGUAGCGUCUGAUGUUGUAAGGAGCCGUAGCCAUUGCACACUGAAUAGUCCCACGACAUCUCAGUGCCCUACACCACAAACUCUGCAUAAGCAUCCCCAGAUAGGGGUAUACACAACACCUAGUCUGCUAAAGUCCUACCCAAUAACAGGUAAGCCUUUGCGUAUUCCACUGUCGCGUAGUUUGAUCGAUAAAGUCUGAAAAAAAGAUGGACUAGGAAAUAACUCCCAUGUGUUUUAAAUGGCGACCAGGUAAACUCGGGAUCCACACAUCGUCUCAGACCUAAAUACUUGUGCCUACACCCAUACGCCAAUUGAGACCCAAUUGCAACAACCCCUUAACGACCCAAAUGCUUUUCAAAUGUAAAAAGGGUAAGUUCCGAGAGAUGCAUUUAUAAAAUCAUAAUUGGGAUAGUAUUUUAGCUUUUAGAGCUUGCGCCAAUAGUGUGUGAGGGUGUUUAAUCAAUUGCCAACCCUGCUUGGCCAAAAGGGGUACAUUAAUUUUUGCCAAAACACAAAAACCCAAACCACUAGUAGACUUUUGGUCGCAUAACUUUGACCAAGUACACCAAGAGAUCCCUCUUCGCCCUCAGAACAUUUCCACCAAAAUCAAUUAAUAAUGCUUUCCAAAUCAGAGCAAAAAGAAGUCGGUAACAAAAAAUAAGACAUGACAAAUGUAGGGAUAGAUUGUAAGACACUUUUAAUGAAGACUUUUUUUUCCAUCUUGUGCAAUGGCUGAAUGCACCAACUAUGCAUUUGGGAUCGCAAACGAUCCUUUAAAACCUAAAAAACCCUCCUCUUAUCAUGCCCCACCAUGUUAAGGA